rnacentral:rRNA from 1 species
AUUGAACGCUGGCGGCAGGCCUAACACAUGCAAGUCGAGCGGAGCGGCGGACGGGUGAGUAAUGCCUAGGAAUCUGCCUGGUAGUGGGGGAUAACGUCAGGAAACGGGCGCUAAUACCGCAUACUAGCAGAUGAGCAUAGGUCGGAUUAGCUAGUUGGUGGGGUAACGGCAUAACAAGGCGACGAUCCGUCACUGGUCUGAGAGGAUGAACAGGCACACUGGAACUGAGACACGGUCCAGACUCCUACGGGAGGCAGCAGUGGGGAAGAUUGGACAAUGGGCGAAAGCCUGAUCCAGCCAUGCCGCGUGUGUGAAGAAGGUCUUCGGAUUGUAAAGCACUGUAAGUUGGGAGGCGUUACCAACAGAAUAAGCACCGGCUAACUUCGUGCCAGCAGCCGCGGUAAUAC